GUCUGCAAACUCCCGCCUCUUCGCUUUCGCUCCGCCGGGGAGCUUCACGUGCGCGUUAGCUGCGGUGGAGGCGGGCCCAGUCGAGCACCCUUAUGCGGGGGCGUGUUCGUGGCUUAUGGGAGUCCGCGACAGUCCUAACUGCUGUCGCAAACCUAUGAGGGGAAAACACUUCCUUGUCACAUCAGAUGUUUCUGUAUGGAGCGGGUGCCACUAACUAACACUUGACACUCUAUUCCAGUGCUACUAGCAAGUUUCCUGAUGUGUAAGUUUGGCAUGUGUAGCCCACCUUCUUCUUCUCCCAUUUCUCAUGGGAGCCAGGCAACCCACAGAAAGUAUGCUUUCUAUUCUGCUCCUUCAUACCACAAGUUUCACAGGGGCCUGCCCACGCCAAGAGAAGCUCGGGGUAGGAAACUGAAGUAUGGGGAGUUUUGGUGACUUCAACAAGACUUAACUGGCUAAUGGUGCUUCUGGGCAGCAUUUCUGCACAGUAUUCGUGCCCAGCCACGGAGCCACAAUGCCUCUGCAGCAAUAACAGAAAGCCUGGUCGGAUAUACUGCUCCAGGGUUUCUGGGAUUCUCAGAAUGGGGCCAGAGAGAACAUUUGCCUUAUCCAUAGCACUUGAAUUUCUAUUUGUAAUGAUAUAAAG